rnacentral:rRNA from 1 species
GAUGAACGCUGGCGGCGUGCCUAAUACAUGCAAGUCGAGCGAACUGAUUAGAAGCUUGCUUCUAUGACGUUAGCGGCGGACGGGUGAGUAACACGUGGGCAACCUGCCUGUAAGACUGGGAUAACUUCGGGAAACCGAAGCUAAUACCGGAUAGGAUCUUCUCCCUCAUGGGAGAUGAUUGAAAGAUGGUUUCGGCUAUUACUUACAGAUGGGCCCGCGGUGCAUUAGGUAGUUGGUGAGGUAACGGCUCACCAAGGCAACGAUGCAUAGCCGACCUGAGAGGGUGAUCGGCCACACUGGGACUGAGACACGGCCCAGACUCCUACGGGAGGCAGCAGUAGGGAAUCUUCCGCAAUGGACGAAAGUCUGACGGAGCAACGCCGCGUGAGUGAUGAAGGCUUUCGGGUCGUAAAACUCUGUUGUUAGGGAAGAACAAGUACGAGAGUAACUGCUCGUACCUUGACGGUACCUAACCAGAAAGCCACGGCUAACUACGUGCCAGCCGCCGCGGUAAGAC